ACCCGAUCCCAUCCCGAACUCGGCCGUGAAACGCCUCAGCGCCGAUGGUACUGCGUCUCAAGACGUGGGAGAGUAGGUCGCCGCCAGGU
rnacentral:rRNA from 1 species